ensembl:lncRNA
AGAAGAAGGAUGAGAAAAGAAUGUGGAAACGGCCAAAUAAGGCACAAUGUUAUCUGGUGUGAACCAAUCAGGGUGGGACAUGACAGCAUGGUUUUGUAGGUAAAAAUGUAUCUAAGCUGUGUUUAGUAGUGAAUAAACACCAUUUUGCUGCUCAUCAUAUUAGUGUGCGUCUGCCGUCAUUUGGCCCUGAUCAGGUAAUUGGUCAGUGAGCGCAGAGGCCUAACACAGGUGGCUAACAUCGUUGUUGCAGAAAGCAACAAAUGGUGCCCCGUGUGAGGAGGCAGACUGUGUUUUAAUGCCCUCUGUGCAGCUGCAAGCUGUGGGGUGACGCCAUAGCGUGAGAUUUGGGGUGACGCCCAGCCCGAGUACCCUGAAGAGAGGGGGAGCCUGCAGAAGACAAUUGGGGUGACGCCCUGCAGAAGAUCAUGGUGACGACGAUAGUGCCGGCCAGCAAGUAGAACCUGUGUUGCGGUGGGGUCCGGGGGGACGACAGGACGCUCACGGAGGACCCGUGUGGACGGCGGCGUCAAGUGUGACUUCGUGGUGACGGCGACGGGCUGAUCAUGGACCAUGUUCUUAAGGUAUUGCUUCAGUUUUGUAAGGAUUACUUUUGGUAAGUAUGCUCCUUCUAAGAAGGAUAUCCACGCACUUAUUUCCUGGUUAGAGCGGGAGGGGGAGUUCAAAGCCCCCCACGAGAUCCUUGAUCACCAGAGGUGGGAUGAUCUCACCUCUGAGUUUGCGCAACAUAUUAUGAGUGCUCAGGAGGGCGGGUCGGAGUUAAAAACUUGGGGUCUGAUACUAGGGGCGUUGAAAGCGGCCAGAGUAGAGGGAAAGGUAUUGGUGGAGGCUCGAUACCUUUUGGGUCUCGGCGGUGGAGGCGAGACACCGGACCUGAGGGGGUCCAAUGGGGGCUCGGGAGAAGUUUCUUGCAGGGGCCGAGAGGAAACGGAGCCGCCAAUGACCGCUGGCGAGAUGGCGGCGGGUGAGCCGACCGCGCUCAGUUCAAAAGAAGACAAACAACAAGAGAGGGAACGUUCGUUGUCUCGUCCCCCUCCCCCCUAUCCGGACCCCUCAGGGGGAACGUUAGUUGGUCUGCUCGAGGCUUUCAUCAAGGAGCUUCCCUGGCAAAAUGGCUGUCUCUCCUCAAACAGAAAGAGAGACAGAGGAAGUGCCAACACAGAGGUAACCAUGAAAAUUCUAGAGGUGAGCAGCCCUGGGCAACGGCCCUGCAAAGACACCCCCUGGCCCCACAUGUCCACCACUCCAUCACGUGCUCUCCAUCCACUCACUUUGUCUCCUUUGCCAGCAGUUUGGGACUUCCGCACGUCUUCACAGCACUUGAGGAUGCACUCCUCAGUGCCCAGGAAAAUGGAUAAGAACUGUGAAAUACUCGACCAGUUCAACAGACGUCUUCAGGCCUUGACCAGAUGCAUGGCGAUGCUCACCUUGGAACUGCCUGAGGGCAGCGAUGAUUCCACCAGCUCGGUCACAGUGAGUGAAAACUGCUGCUCUUUGAGGACAUCGCUGUAUCCGUUGAGCACCAGUUGGGGGGAAAUGGAGGCACCUUACCGACACCCAAAAGCCCAGGAGAACUUGGAAAGCUCCAUCCCAGAAAGGAAAGCGGAGCAGGGACUGGGCCUCAGUGAUCAGAGAAAGCCUGAUGUGAUGGUGGCUCCCACGGUGCAGGACCUGCCCUUAGAGGAUGAGGCUAUGCAAAGUCAUUCGGAGCAUCCUAACAUAAAAAUGCAGGCACCACAGUUCCUGAAGAGGAGUUUCUCAGAGCCUGUCCUGGGUCAGAGAGACUCCCAGCUUCCCCAUCCUCUGAGGCACUCAAGGAGGCCCACUUACUCGCUCUUCCAGCGUGGGCAUGGGCAAGCUCUGGCAAGGAGGUCAGCAGCAUGGGCCCUUGUCCUAUGGCGAAAAUCUGCCCCCGAGACAGAUACGUGCAGACAAGAAACAAGGAUUCCAGUCCACAUUGCCUGCUGCAGAAUCUAUGAAGGCCCUGAUGACCAUCAGAUCAAGAUGAUGCAUCUGUGGCUGGAGCAAUAUGAAUAUGUUGAGAGGCGAAAGUUGGAAUUUUAUAGAGACUACUACACCCAGCCUAACAACGAAGGAUCCCAGGGCGUGGCUCCAUCUGACACUGCAGCCCCGGUUGUUGCAGGAGGAGCAACAGUUCGAGAGAGGAAUUCACCCGAGGUCAAGGCCAGUGAGCAACAGGACAAGAAAAAUACCACUGCUGCCCAGCAGCCAGAGGGGCUCCCUGAACGUACCCUCGUGGAGAGUUCUUCGGUUCUGCCAUGGAGGCGUCUGCCACCGGGUAGACCAUUCAGACCCCAAGCAGCACACGCAGAGAUGACGCCCAGGCAAGAAGCAGCAGAACACACGACUCCUAGACCAGAGACACCACCUGUGCUGUGCAGAAACUGCUGUGCACCAGCCCUCCUGUGCCAUUUCAUUCAGAAUGCCGGGGCCAAGCUCCGAGCUGCCUGCAUGGCCCUCUAUUCCCUGAUCAGAAAGGCAACUAAGAAGCUCUCAAAGAAGGGAAGAGAGCCCAUCAUGAAAAACAGAUCCUUAGAGCAGGCCAGGCUGGACACAGAUCAACGUAGGAGUAGACGAUCACUGAGUCUACUGGCCAAAAAGAAAAACCCACGUACACCUCAGGAGGCAAUGAGGAAGGACAUGGUGGCAUCUCAAGAUAAGACUUUCAGCGAUGCCAGUGAGGCCAGAGGUGCCGAAAAAGCAUUGAGCCAGGGUGGCAGCAGCCACAGGCACCUGGACGUGCUGGCUCCUGUUGCCCAUAGAGAGCCAGCCAACGUGCUGCUACCUCGGAGAAGGCUGCUCUUGGAGACUGAAGCUCCUGCCCCAUCUCAGUCUGUUCUAGCAGAUGUCCAGGCAGGCACAGCUGCAGUGAGUAGUGGAUUACUGCCAGAUGCUACCAGGGGGCAGAAGCAGAAGGGCAAGGGACACACCCAGGACAAGCCAGCUCCUCCAAGAAGAAAGUCCCCAAAGAAAAAGCAGUCCUCCAGUGAGCAGAGACCCUCAGGUCUGCCACAGCCUCCAAAUCCCACUGGGACCAACGUUCCAGUCCUCUUCGUGCAGCAGCAGAGACCCUCAGGUCUGCCACAGCUUCCAAAUCUCGCUGGGACCGACAUUCCAAUCUCCCUCCUGCAGGAGCUUUUCACAGCACUUAGAGAUUUGAAGAAAGCCAGACAAACUGCUGAUGAGCUGCAGAAGCAGGUGCUGGCUUCCUUCUCAAAUCAGCCCACAAACAAUGCCAAGUAACUGAGGACAGAUACGGCAGCAGAGGAACCUGGGGCGAGGACACAGAGUGGAAGAGAAGGGCGAGGGAUGCACCCAGAACAGAUCUGACUAUGGGUCACUCUGCCCUACAUGCACCAAAGCUCCAUGCUGCUGCCAGCCAGGAGGUGUAAGCUCCCAGCGAUUGGCUGCACCUGCAACUGCAGCCCCAGGUGCAGGAAGAGAAGUGACUGUGAGAGAAGAAUCCCUCCAUGAGGACAGGGACAAGAGGCAGCAGACCUGAAAAAUGCUCCUGCCGAUCAGCAGCCAGAGGGGCUCCUUUGGCUAAGGACAUCAACCCCUGUAAUUGCAGGAGGGAG